rnacentral:rRNA from 1 species
GACGAACGCUGGCGGCGUGCUUAACACAUGCAAGUCGAACGAAGUGGCGAACGGGUGAGUAACGCGUAAUCAACCUGCCCUUCCGAGGGGGACAACAGUUGGAAACGACUGCUAAUACCGCAUAAUGAAGGAGGGGAUUGCGUAUGCUUAGCUAGUUGGCGGGGUAACGGCCAACCAAGGCGAAGAUCAGGAGCCGGUCUGAGAGGAUGAACGGCCACAUUGGGACUGAGACACGGCCCAGACUCCUACGGGAGGCAGCAGUGGGGAAUCUUCCGCAAUGGACGAAAGUCUGACGGAGCAACGCCGCGUGAGUGAUGACGGCUUUCGGGUUGUAAAGCUCUGUUAAUCGGGACGCGGUACCGGAAUAGAAAGCCACGGCUAACUACGUGCCAGCAGCCGCGGUAAUUC